GGUCGGCGGCGGCGCCGCGCCUGGCUGUCCCCGCUCUGCCGGCCCUCCGCCUGGCUCGCCUCCAGCCGCGGGACCCGCGCGAAGCGGUACCCGGGCCAUGCAGUCCUCAGCCAUGGACCUGCGGAUGCUGGCCCGGGAGCUCUCCCUUUACCUGGAGCACCAAGUCCGGGUUGGGUUCUUCGGCUCGGGGGUGGGCUUGUCCCUGAUCCUGGGCUUCAGCGUCGCGUACGCCUGCUACUACCUGAGCAGCAUCACCAAGAAACCCCAGUUAGUGACCGGGGCUGAGAGUUUCAGCCGCUUCCUCCGGGACCCCUGGCCGGUGAUGACAGAAACGUACUACCCGACGGUCUGGUGCUGGGAGAGCCGAGGACAGACACUGCUGAGACCUUUCAUCACUUCCAAGCCCCUCGUGCAGUACAGGAAUGAACUUAUUAAAACGGCAGAUGGAGGACAGAUUUCUCUGGACUGGUUUGAUAAUGAUAACAGUCCAUGUUACAUGGAUGCCAGCGCCAGACCUACUAUUUUAUUGUUGCCUGGCCUCACUGGAACAAGCAAGGAAUCUUAUAUCCUUCAUAUGAUCCAUCUCAGUGAAGAAUUAGGAUCAGAUGUGUUGUUUUUAACAGCAGAGGAGUGGCAGGAGAAAAUCUCUUGACGCCAAGGACUUACUGUUGUGCUAACACUGAAGACUUGGAGACAGUUAUUCACCACGUACACAGCCUGUACCUUUCUGCUCCUUUUCUGGCAGCAGGGAUUUCAAUGGGAGGGCACCGGCAUAUGUUUGUAAAACAAAUUGGUAUGGAUCAUGUCAUGAAGGCUAAAUCCAUCAGAGAGUUUGAUAAGGGAUUCACUUCUGUCAUGUUUGGAUACCCAACCGUUGACGAUUAUUACACUGACGCCAGUCCAAAUCAUAGACUGAAGUCAGUAGCAAUUCCAGUGUUGUGUCUAAAUUCUGUGGAUGAUGUUUUCUCACCUAGUCAUGCUAUUCCAAUAGAAACUGCUAAGCAAAACCCUAAUGUUGCUUUGGUCCUUACUUCUCAUGGAGACCAUAUUGGUUUUCUGGAGGGAAUUUGGCCACGGCAAUCCACUUACAUGGAUCAAGUCUUCAAGCAGUUUGUGCAAGCCAUGGUUGAGCAUGGACAUGAACUCUCUAACAUGUAGUUCUUUGGGUGCAUUUUGUGUGAACCACCAUUGUAAAGGCAGCUCAGCUUAGUGCACAAAUUUUAAUAUGUAUAUAAAGCAAAUAAGCCAGCAGAUGGGUGAAGAGGUCCAGAAUGAUAUGCAAAAACUACUUUUUAGGGAAACAAUUUUGUAGCAAGACAUUAAAUAUAAUAUUAGAUUGUUACUUAUGUAGAUUUUAUUUUUACUAUG